GGAGGGAAACAAAUGGGUAGAAUCGUAAUAAAAUGUGGGAAUGCAAAGACCGUGGACACAAGUGUCACCCCUGCAAACCUGCACUGGCAUGGAGUGAGGGCACGUGGUGCUUUGGGUCCCCCAGAAUUCCCAUCUACCCCUUGCCCAUACUGCCCAUUUCACCCCACCCCCACUUUCCAGCCCUCCCCGCAUCCCCCAGGGUCCAUCACCACCACCACCCCCAAUGCCAAUCACUGCCCCAGUUUCCAGCCCCCCAGCCUCUUCCUCCCACAGGCGAGCCCCAGAGCCUGAGGCACAGCUGCUUAGCACAGAGCCGUGGAGGGAGGUAGGAAUCAUCAGAAUCACAUCUUUUCCCCUAGAAAAUGUCAAGAAGGGGGCAGAGGAGGAACGGCCGUGUCACCGCCCCCUCAAUCACCAUGUUCCCCACAGCCGUCCCAGUGUGUGGACCAGAAAUGCCGGCGUAAAUGGUGGCUCCUCCCACACCUGCUACUGGUGCUGCUGCUGGCACUGCUCUGCCUCCUGCCCCACAUCACUCCAUGGCUGGAGCUGAGCUACCUGAGAUCCCCCACACUGUGAGAAGCCCCAGGUUCUUCCAAUGUUCCUUGAUACUGUGAUAGUCAACUCUUAGGCAUCCACAAUAAGCUACUUCAUUUACAAGUCCUGGGAUAGAUGCGUGCCACGAGUUCCUCACCUAAUCUUUUCAGAGGACUCCCAGUCCUGGAUCAUCAUUUACAGUUACAAAGUUUUUAAACUUCCUUCUGUCAAACUAAAGGUUGUAAAGCUUUGGCCUAUCUGUUCAUAAAACAUUUCACAUUU